UCCCUGGUGGUCCAGUGGCUAAAACUCUGAGCUCCCAAUGCAAAGCGCCCAGGUUCGAUCCCUGGUUGGGGAA
rnacentral:tRNA from 1 species